ACCUUCCUUGUCUUGGGGAGCAGAAAUGUCCAAUGAACGUCUAGUGAGGGCAUUGCUGCUGACACCAAAGAUAUUACCCCCGCUCACUGGUCGCCUGCGAUCAGGGUUCGGAAUUUUUGGACCAAGGCCCCCUUACUUAACAGGGGGCCGU
rnacentral:ncRNA from 1 species